rnacentral:lncRNA from 10 species
GUUCGUUGGCCUGUGUUUCUCUGUUAAUGCCUAUCACGAAUCGCUUGGGUUUCUCCAUCUUGCUGGUAGUGAACUGAUGUCCGGAAGUUUGAUGGCCGAAGAGUAUACCGUUGUGCAUAUAUCCUUCAAUUCCUGAUUUUAUCAUCUGUAGAAAGACAAAAAUCUUCAGACUGAUUUCCACAGUUUGAGAUCUAGUUUGCAUUACCUCCAAGAGAAUAGCCAUGUUUGCUUUUCUCUGCUGCCACACCAGCAUGUUAUGUUUUGACUUAGGACAAAUGGCCACUCUGACCAGCGUGUGAUGGCACCGGUACCUCAUCUCUGAUGAUUGGUGAUGUUGAGCAUUCCCCACGCCUGUUGGAAUGGCAAUCCCUUGGAAAUGUCUUCUCAAUAGUUACUACCCAUAGAGAACAGACCCUCCCAGUCUUCAGUGCACUCUAAAUACUGGCUAAUUCUGGCCAAUGGAAGGCAUCUGUGGAAGAAAAAAGCCUCAGAUCAUGUGCUGUCUGUCUUUAUUCAGUGUGACAUAUUAGGUAAUGGUCACAGACACUCACCAUGGCCCCAGUUUUUAAUAACAUGACCCUGCUUUUGUGUUCCAGUAACUUCUGUUGUUUUCCCAAUCCUAAGUAUGAUAGAAACUUCCUGCUGCUGCUAAUCUCUGGGUUCCAUUUAAAAUCCUUCCAUCACAUGAAUACUAUGCUGUGUUCUAAAUUUUUCCAUAAUUAAAUACUUACAAUUAUUUUUGCCUACUUCUUUUGCCCCUUAGUGAUAUGUUUUAAAAACACUUAUAAUGUGUCACAAUAUAUUUAGCAAAUGUAGGGAAUGACAUUUUUACUUUCGUCAGCAUUUACACUAGCAUUUAUGGAGCGAUGCUAUAUAAAGUAUUUUUAGUAAUUUAAACGUUAUAUAACAGAUAUCCGUUGAUUCCUUUGUUUCUACGUAAAUAAGUAUACUUGAGAUAUUCAGUAAACAGUAUUGAAUACAUGUUUCAUUUGUAUAAUAUAAAAUUAUGAUUAUUCUUUUUAAACAGUACAUCAUAUUUGCUUGUUGGCUUUAUGAUAACUUAGAAAUAAUAUUCUGGAUUAACUGUGUGACUCAUGAGAAGAUUUGUGCAACUAUGUUUCCAAAUUUACUUGAUUUUCAAGACUUACACUAGAACUGUGAGAACAGGGUAAUAAAUAAGCAUAUGUAUUAAUAUCACCUUUGGUCAACUCUUGGGUAGCCCCAACGGUAGUGUAGGAAUUAACGUAAUUUUUCCUACUAAAAGUAUUGGAUUUGUUUUGAGAGACCACAGUUGAAAAUCAUUGACAUACAAAGUUUAAAAAUUGUUAGGUUAAAAAAUUUUAAAUGCAUUUGAAGUGGUUUUAUAGAAAAAUAAUUAUCUAACUUGGUUUAUAUUGACAGGUUGUUUUCUUGGAUAAGAACUAGACGAAGAGAAAGGGAGAUUAGUGAUAAAUGUCCAGGUUUUCAAGUUGAAAAGUAACAAUCAGUGUAUUACAACAGAUGGAUGUGAUGUCAAAUUACAAAUGCUGAAAACGUUAUAUGUAAUCAUGUAGCCAGAGUAAUCAUACAAGGCAAAGAACGGAAAGGCAUCCAAAUAGGAAAGAGGCUGGAAUGCAGUGGCACCAUCUCAGCUCACUGCAACCUCCGCCUCUGGGUUCAAGUGCUGCUCCUGCCUCAGUCUC